GGAAGUUGUCCACGAUGGUGGCAUUACGUGUGCCAUCGUAUGUGUCGGGCUUUGGCACGUCAAUGCGGCGCGCAUCACUCGAGUUUGCAGAAGCUGGACUUGCGGAGAGUGUGCGCUUGUGCCAUGCCCAAUCCGAGCGGACUUCAUCCACUUCCGCACGGACAGCGCGUAGUUCAUCCUGAACAAAACUACGAAGUUUGAGC
rnacentral:lncRNA from 1 species